rnacentral:tRNA from 1 species
GUGGCUGUGUGUGAGCCGGGGAGGCGGGGCGGAUUUGCAUGGCAUGCAAGAGGUCAGGAGUUCAAUUCUCCUUAGCUCCA